rnacentral:tRNA from 1 species
GGGGCUGUGGCUCGGUUUUAGAGCGCUCGCCUAGCAUGCAUGAGGCACUGAGUUCGAUCCUCAGCAUCACG